GACGUAGGGCGCGAGCGUUGUCCGGAUUUAUUGGGCGUAAAGAGCUCGUAGGCGGCUCGUUGCGUCGGCUGUGAAAACCCGCAGCUCAACUGUGGGCUUGCAGCCGAUACGGGCGGGCUGGAGUUCGGUAGGGGAGACUGGAAUUCCUGGUGUAGCGGUGAAAUGCGCAGAUAUCAGGAGGAACACCAGUGGCGAAGGCGGGCAUCUGGGCCAACACUGACGCUGAGGCGCGAAAGCUAGGGGAGCAAACAGG
rnacentral:rRNA from 1 species